AUCCACACGACGAGUCCCGAAUAGGACGAAAUGCGCAUCCCGUAU
rfam:Trichobilharzia regenti genome assembly, scaffold: TRE_scaffold0005901